rnacentral:rRNA from 1 species
UGGGGAAUAUUGGACAAUGGGCGCAAGCCUGAUCCAGCCAUGCCGCGUGAGUGAUGAAGGCCUUAGGGUUGUAAAGCUCUUUCACCGGAGAAGAUAAUGACGGUAUCCGGAGAAGAAGCCCCGGCUAACUUCGUGCCAGCAGCCGCGGUAAUACGAAGGGGGCUAGCGUUGUUCGGAAUUACUGGGCGUAAAGCGCACGUAGGCGGAUCGAUCAGUCAGGGGUGAAAUCCAAGAGCUCAACUCUGGAACUGCCUUUGAUACUGUCGAUCUAGAGUAUGGAAGAGGUGAGUGGAAUUCCGAGUGUAGAGGUGAAAUUCGUAGAUAUUCGGAGGAACACCAGUGGCGAAGGCGGCUCACUGGUCCAUUACUGACGCUGAGGUGCGAAAGCGUGGGGAGCAAACAGG